rnacentral:rRNA from 1 species
GUAGGUGGCAAGCGUUGUCCGGAAUUAUUGGGCGUAAAGCGCGCGCAGGCGGUUCUUUAAGUCUGAUGUGAAAGCCCACGGCUCAACCGUGGAGGGUCAUUGGAAACUGGAGAACUUGAGUACAGAAGAGGAAAGCGGAAUUCCACGUGUAGCGGUGAAAUGCGUAGAGGUGUGGAGGAACACCAGUGGCGAAGGCGGCUUUCUGGUCUGUAACUGACGCUGAGGCGCGAAAGCGUGGGGAGCAAACAGGAUUAGAUACCCUGGUAGUCCACGCCGUAAACGAUGAGUGCUAAGUGUUAGGGGGGUUUCCGCCCCCCUUAGUGCUGCAGCUAACGCAUUAAGCACUCCGCCUGGGAGUACGGCCGCAAGGCUG